rnacentral:tRNA from 1 species
GCCUGGGUGGCUCAGUUGGUUGAGCACCUGACUUCGACUCAGGUAAUGAUCUCACGGUCCAGGAGUUCAAGCCCCACAUCAGGCU